rnacentral:rRNA from 1 species
UACGUAGGGGGCAAGCGUUGUCCGGAUUUAUUGGGCGUAAAGAGCGUGUAGGCGGCCCGGUAAGUCCGCUGUGAAAGUCGGGGGGCUCAACCCUCGAAUGCCGGUGGAUACUGUCGGGCUAGAGUGCGGAAGAGGCGAGUGGAAUUCCUGGUGUAGCGGUGAAAUGCGCAGAUAUCAGGAGGAACACCAAUUGCGAAGGCAGCUCGCUGGGACGUAACUGACGCUGAGACGCGAAAGCGUGGGGAGCAAACAGG